rnacentral:rRNA from 1 species
CCUACGGGUGGCUGCAGUGAGGAAUAUUGGUCAAUGGGCGUAAGCCUGAACCAGCCAAGUCGCGUGAGGGAUGAAGGUUCUAUGGAUCGUAAACCUCUUUUAUAAGGGAAUAAAGUGCGGGACGUGUCCCGUUUUGUAUGUACCCUAUGUAUAAGGCUCGGCUCACUCCGUGCCAGCAGCCGCGGGAAUACGGAGGAUCCGAGCGUUAUCCGGAUUUAUUGGGUUUAAAGGGUGCGUAGGCGGUCUUUUAAGUCCGCGGUGAAAGUCGGUGGCUCAACCGUAGAAUUGCCGUUGAAACUGGGAGGCUUGAGUGUGUUUGAGGCAGGCGGAAUGCGUGGUGUAGCGGUGAAAUGCUUAGAUAUCACGCAGAACCCCGAUGGCGAAGGCAGCCUGCCAGGCCAUGACUGACGCUGAUGCACGAAAGCGUGGGGAUCAAACAGGAUUAGAUACCCCUGUAGUC